UUCCUCCCCCGACGCCGCCUCCUCAUCCUCCUCCUCAUCCUCCUCCGGGCCGGGGCCGGCGGGGGCCUUCGCAGGGGUCUCGGGGGGGGGGCUCGUGGGCCUGUGAGGCGGCCCCGUAGAGGUUGAGGUGGCCCCAGGGACCUUUGAGGUGGCCCCAUGGGCCAUUGAGGUGGCCCCGUAGAGGUUGAGGUGGUCUUGGAGGUCUUGAAGUUGCCUCGUGGGCCUCCAGAGGGGUCUUGGAGGCCUUGAGGUGGCCCCGUAGAGGUUGAGGUGGCCCCAUGGGCCUUUGAGGUGGCCCCAUAGAGGUUGAGGUGGCCCCAUGGGCCUUUGAGGUGGCCCCAUGGGCCGUUGAGGUGGCCCCGUAGAGGUUGAGGUGGUCUUGGAGGUCUUGAAGUUGCCUCGUGGGCCUCCAGAGGGGUCUUGGAGGCCUUGAGGUGGCCCCAUGGGCCUUUGAGGUGGCCCCAUAGAGGUUGAGGUGGCCCCAUGGGCCGUUGAGGUGGCCCCAGGGAUCUUUGGGGUGGCCCCGUAGAGGCUGUGGGGCUCUGGGAGGCCUCGAGGUGGCCGCAGGGACCUUGAGGGCCUCUCGUGGAUCCCCAAGUGGCCCCACAGAGCCCAGGGAGCCCCCGUGGGUCAGGGCGUGGCCCCACGGAUCCCCCGGCUGCCCCCCAGGGUGCCCCAGCCCAACAGCCCUGCCGGCCCCACAGACACCCCCUAAAGCCCCUCCCAGCACCCCAAAGCCCCUCCCAGCCCCACAGAUCCCCCCAAAGCCCCUCCCAGCCCCACAGAUCUCCCCUCAAAGCCCCUCGCAGCCCCACAGAUACCCCCCCAAAACCGCCCCAAAGCCCCCCCAAGCCCCUCCCAGCCCCACAGAUACCCCCCAAAGCCCUCCUAGCCCCACAGAUCUCCCCUCAAAGCCCCUCCCAGCCCCACGGAUCUCCCCCGAAAGCCCCUCCCAGCCCCACGGAUCUCCCCCAAAGCCCCUCCCAGCCCCACAGAUCUCCCCCAAAGCCCCUCCCAGCCCCACAGAUCAUCCCCAAAGCCCCUCCCAGCCCCACAGAUCCCCCCCUAAACCCCCUCCCAGCCCCACAGAUCCCCCCCUAAACCCCCUCCCAGCCCCACAGCUUCCCCCCAAAGCCCCUCUCAGCCCCACAGAUCCCCCCCAAAACCCCCCCCAACCCCCUCC